UACGGGGGGGGGCAAGCGUUGUUCGGAAUUACUGGGCGUAAAGGGCGCGUAGGCGGCCUACUAAGUCGGACGUGAAAUCCCUCGGCUCAACCGAGGAACUGCGUCCGAUACUGGCAGGCUGGAAUCCGGGAGAGGGAUGUGGAAUUCCAGGUGUAGCGGUGAAAUGCGUAGAUAUCGAAAGGAACAUCAGUGGCGAAAAGCGACUUCCUGGACCAGUACCGACGUUCAGGCACGAAAGCGUGGGGAGCAAACAGG
rnacentral:rRNA from 1 species